UUUUUUCUAUAUUUCUUUUCAUUUUCUGUUUUUCCUUUUAUUCCUUUUAUUUUAUUUUAUUCAUAGAAAUUUCAUUUUUUAUCCAAAAAAUAUGGGACUUUCACCAAAAAUCUUUAAAUAUUUUCUUCUUCCAUAUUUUGAAGUAAAAUCAUUUUUGGGAUAAAUUUUGGUAUUAUUUGUGAAUUAAAUGAUUUUUGACUUGUUUUUAACUAUUUUUAAAUACUAAUGAC
rnacentral:lncRNA from 1 species